CCAUAUUGCUUCCCAAGCCCCCAGCUCGCCGAGGAGGUUUUAUUUCCGUGUUACCUCUGCCCAGCCGGGGCUCAGUUGGAGAAGAAAAACACAGAGGAGGGAAGAAAAAAAGAAAAAAAAAAAAAAGAAAAGGAGCUUUUUCAAUGCUGGUGAGCAGGUUUGUUAUAGGGAGACAUUUAUUUAUUUAAGUGCGUGACAACCCGAGUCACUCUUAUCUGACCAAAACACUUUGUUGAUCAGACUUAGAAAAGCAUCCCGGGCAGCAGAGCCAUCUCGGCGCUGCGUUGGGAAGUGCUCGCGGACCUGCUGUUGUGUUCAGAGACAAGAAAUCACCUCCGAGUUCAAAGACUGGCGGAGGCGAUAGUCACCUUGGAAACGCGCCGCGGCAGCCGCAGCCGAUCCCGCACGGCCCCGGGGUGCAGCGGGGGCAAGUGUCCCACGUCCCGCAUCCCGAGGCCUCUCCCGGGGAUGCUGGCUCUGCGAGAGGGAGGGAUCCCGGCUUUUGGGCGCAGUCUGAUCUUUAUGAACCCAUUUAUUAUUCACAGCCGUUGGAGGGAAGGAAUUUACGUGGCUGGAUUGCAGUCCCUGGGCGCACACACGUUGCCCCCUUCCCUUUCCUUUAAACCUGUGGAUCUGUCAUCCAGCUCUGUGAACAAAACAGCUUUUGCAGAUAUUUUGCCUCAGCUACAGGCUGAUAUGUCCAUAACUGGCACGUACGUGGAGCUCCGAGCAAUGUCACAAACUGGAUUUUGCAGCCCUCAUCUACGUGUAACAAUGGACCGAGGGGAUGUUCAGCUCCCCAAGCCAAACAAACGCCUGCUGCAGCCGCAUUGCAGCCCGUUAGCUGUCCUGGAGCAACCCGGACCGGUAACAGAAAGCACAGCACGGAGAUGAAAGUAUUUACAAGCCCAGAAAAACUCGCCUAUGGUGCCUUUGCAAAGCAUUGCUGGCGGCCGAGGAGUAAUAACUUGUCCCUCCAACCCCCCGGCCCUGGCACUGCUAAGAGGAUCACAGCAGCUCCCGGAUAAAAGCCGAACACCCUCCGCCAGCCGAGCUGCUCUGAGCUGCCUGAUACCCCACCGCCGCUGAGCCGGCACUGCGGCACCUGCAGCGAAGGGAGAGCCCGCGAUAAGAGUUGUCACUUCAAGUUUGUUGGCUUCCCUUUUCCCCGGUGAUCCGAUAGGAAUCGUCCCCUGGCACCAAUGUUGAAUGCUGCUGCUGCUGCCUUCUCUCUGUGCGUAUAUAUAUAUAUACGUGCGUGUGCGUAUAUAUAUAUAAUUUAUAACAAACCUGACUUGGAAUUGAUGAUGCC
rnacentral:lncRNA from 1 species